AGCGAACGCUGGCGGCAGGCUUAACACAUGCAAGUCGAACGCCCCGCAAGGGGAGUGGCAGACGGGUGAGUAACGCGUGGGAAUCUACCCAGUUCUACGGAAUAACCCAGGGAAACUUGGACUAAUACCGUAUACGCCCUACGGGGGAAAGAUUUAUCGGAAUUGGAUGAGCCCGCGUUGGAUUAGCUAGUUGGUGGGGUAAUGGCCUACCAAGGCGACGAUCCAUAGCUGGUCUGAGAGGAUGAUCAGCCACACUGGGACUGAGACACGGCCCAGACUCCUACGGGAGGCAGCAGUGGGGAAUAUUGGACAAUGGGCGCAAGCCUGAUCCAGCCAUGCCGCGUGAGUGAUGAAGGCCUUAGGGUUGUAAAGCUCUUUCAGUGGGGACGAUAAUGACGGUACCCACAGAAGAAGCCCCGGCUAACUUCGUGCCAGCCGCCGCGGUAAGAC
rnacentral:rRNA from 1 species